UGCGCGUUGCUCGGCAGAGCCCGACGCCUCCCGCUCUCAGCUCCCGGACCCCGCCCACCCCAGGCCGGGUUCUGGGCACAGGACCUUUGAGCUCGUUGAGCGCUCUCCCGGACCACCAUGGGCUCAGAGAUGGAGCCACUGUUCCGGGCCUGGAGCUAUUUUAGACGCAGGAAGUUCCAGCUCUGCGCCGAUCUAUGCACGCAGAUGCUGGAGAAGUCCCCUUAUGACCAGGCGGCUUGGAUUUUGAAAGCGCGAGCGCUGACAGAAAUGGUGUACGUAGAUGAAAUUGACGUGGACCAGGAAGGGAUUGCUGAGAUGACCCUGGAUGAAAAUGCUAUUGCUCAGGUCCCACGCCCUGGCACAUCUUUGAAGCUCCCUGGCACUAACCAGACAGGAGGACCGACUCAAGCUGUCAGGCCAAUCACUCAAGCUGGAAGACCCAUAACGGGCUUCCUUAGGCCCAGCACACAGAGUGGAAGACCGGGUACAAUGGAGCAGGCCAUCAGAACACCCAGAACGGCCUACACAGCACGACCUAUCACCAGCUCAUCUGGAAGAUUCGUCAGACUGGGGACUGCUUCCAUGCUUACAAGUCCCGAUGGACCAUUUAUAAAUUUAUCCAGACUGAAUUUAACAAAAUAUUCCCAGAAACCUAAGUUGGCAAAGGCUUUAUUUGAAUAUAUUUUCCACCAUGAAAACGAUGUUAAGAUGGCUUUGGACUUGGCGUCCCUUUCCACGGAGUAUUCUCAGUACAAGGACUGGUGGUGGAAGGUGCAGAUUGGAAAAUGUUACUACAGGUUAGGAAUGUACCGUGAAGCAGAGAAACAGUUCAAAUCAGCCCUGAAGCAGCAGGAAAUGGUAGAUACAUUUCUCUAUCUGGCAAAAGUUUAUAUCAUAUUGGAUCAACCUGUGACUGCUUUAAAUCUAUUCAAACAAGGCUUAGAUAAGUUUCCAGGAGAGGUGACCCUGCUUUGUGGAAUUGCCAGGAUCUACGAGGAAAUGAACAACAGUUCGUCCGCAGCAGAAUACUACAAAGAGGUUCUCAAACAAGACAAUACUCAUGUGGAAGCCAUUGCCUGCAUUGGAAGCAACCACUUUUAUUCUGACCAGCCAGAGGUUGCCCUCCGGUUUUACAGGCGCCUCUUGCAGAUGGGAGUUUACAACUGCCAGCUUUUCAACAACCUGGGGCUGUGCUGCUUCUAUGCCCAGCAGUACGACAUGACUCUGACCUCAUUCGAGCGCGCCCUUUCCCUGGCCGAGAACGAGGAAGAGGCAGCUGACGUCUGGUACAACCUGGGGCACAUUGCAGUGGGAAUAGGAGACACAAACCUGGCCCACCAGUGCUUCAGGCUGGCCCUGGUCCACAACAACCACCAUGCUGAGGCCUACAACAACCUAGCCGUGCUGGAGAUGCGGAAGGGUCACAUUGAACAGGCACGCGCACUCUUACAAACCGCAUCGUCCUUGGCACCCCAUAUGUAUGAGCCACAUUUUAAUUUUGCAACCGUCUCUGAUAAGAUUGGAGAUCUUCAGAGAAGCUACGUCGCUGCUCAGAAGUCUGAAGCCGCAUUUCCAGAGCAUGUGGACACUCAGCAUUUAAUUAAGCAGCUAAAGCAGCACUUCGCUAUGCUCUGAUCAGGCCUCGGACCAACUGCGUCCUCAGGAAGGGCCAGCCACAGGGGAGAAAACGUGCUGAGUGCAUUUGUAUCAGUAGUGUGACGCAGACUCAGAAGGCGUCCUGCAAGACCUAAGGACUUUGUUGUUUUAUAAGUCAACUCGAUACAAGGUUGACUGGGAUACCUGGGAAAAGAGACCUCAAUUGAGAAAACGUCUCCGUCAGACUGCCUGGAGGGACAAUUGGUGUUCAUGUGGUUGAAUGUGUGCAUCGUUCUGCCUCCUGGAACAGACUUGUAUGUGGAAGUAACACAGGUCAUGGACCCAAUUCAUUCUUUCUCAACAUAUUCCUCCUAUUCCUACCCUCUGACCACAGCUCAUGGAACCAAGACAGCUAAGUCACUGGCUGCACAGCACUAGUCUUGUUCUGUCACAGGAUGAUGUGAUUGCAAGACAGAGUCAAGUAGCUGCGACCCUGGAGAAGAGUCAGAAAACAUUUCCAUCAGUGUCUUCCCUGCUUGGAAGUCAUAUAAGCUCUUUCGAUGUCACAUUAGUACCUUUUCUUAUUACGUAAGAGGUAUUCUCAGUAGAAGGCUGUAUUGAAUAUUGAUACCCUUCCCCUAUAUUAUUCAAGACCCUUCAACAUUGCAUUUACUACAUGUGCCCACCAUGGUGCAGUCUGCCAUGCUCUUGGACAGCCACAUUGCUCUCACCACAGGCCCAACAAAUGGGACCUCCAAGAUCAUGAGAUAAAUGAACCCCUUUUCUUUAUAAAGUACCUAGUCCUUAGAUGUUUGGUUAUAGGAACAGAAAACAGACACCUAUGUUGGGUAAUCUUGGUAUGAUAUAAUAUCACCUUAACUAAUUUCAUCUGUAGGGACCCCGUGUCCAAAUAACAUCACCCUGAAGGUUCAAGGGGAGAGGAAUCCUGGAGGGUGCUGGAUGCCAAUCCAGGAGACGAUGCGCACAGGGAAGUAGUGCUCUGCCUGUCCGAAGGAAGCCUGCCUCUCCAUCGCUGUUAUCGGGUUUACAGAAGAACCAUUGACUAAUAGCCGAGUAAUCACCAUAGCAACCAAGGAACCCAUCAUCUGAACCAUAUCCCAGAAGCACACACAAGGUCAGCAGAGGACACGGAAUGCUUAUCCCAGACUCCAGGGGGCAAAACCGGACUCUCAGCCAGGCACCGGACCAACAACAUGUCUUUAAAAUUAACUUCAUCUCCGAAAAUAUUAAUGGUUAUCUUUAAUAAAAUGAGACAAGUUUGGGGUCUGGCAGAGGACAGAAGGCACAAUUAUAUGUUUACCCAUCUCAACCUUUCUCCAACAGUUCUGUGGAGAAAAGUCACAAGGUUUCAGAGGCAGGCAACCAGUUCACACAGAGUACCCUGAGACCUCUUCUCUCCUGUCAGGGGACCAUUUUUUUUCUUUUUUUUUUCUUUUUAACAUGAAAUGUUUUGAUUAUGUUAGUAUUCAUAUAUAUUCCAUACACACACACAGACACACACACACACAAACACACACACACACAAACACACACGCACACACACACACACACACACACACACACACACACACACACACACACAUAUAAUGCAUCAUUCUGGUUACUCAUUCCCUACCUCUACCAUGUCUCGUCCCCCUCCUAUGCUUACCCAUGUCCACCCACCUACAUAUCUCUUUCCCAUA